CAGAAGCCAUCGUCCGCACAUGC
rnacentral:piRNA from 1 species